rnacentral:tRNA from 1 species
GUCAGGAUGGCCGAGCGGUCCAAGGCGCUGCGUUCAGGUUGCAGUCCGGUCUUCCGGGCGUGGGUUCGAAUCCCACUCCUGACA